UUUAAUUGCCAUCUAUUUAGGUUGGGCUAACUUUAAAGAGACUGCGUGUAGCGGAGAGGUGGGAUGACGUCAAAUCAUCAUGCCCCUUAUGUUCUGGGCUACACACGUGCUACAAUGGCCGGUACAGACGGAGGCGAAGCCGCGAGGCGGAGCAAAUCCGAAAAAGCCGGUCUCAGUUCGGAUUGCAGGCUGCAAUUCGCCUGCAUGAAGUCGGAAUCGCUAGUAAUCGCAGGUCAGCAUACUGCGGUGAAUACGUUCCCGGGCCUU
rnacentral:rRNA from 1 species